rnacentral:rRNA from 1 species
AGUAGCAUACUUUUGGUGGCGACCGGCGCACGGGUGAGUAACGCGUAUGCAACCCCCUUAUCAGAGGGGAAUAACCCGGCGAAAGUCGGACUAAUACCGCAUAAAACAGGGACACCGCAUGGUGAUAUUUGUUAAAGAAAUUCGCUGAUAGAUGGGCAUGCGUUCCAUUAGGUAGUUGGUGAGGUAACGGCUCACCAAGCCGACGAUGGAUAGGGGAACUGAGAGGUUGGUCCCCCACACUGGUACUGAGACACGGACCAGACUCCUACGGGAGGCAGCAGUGAGGAAUAUUGGUCAAUGGGCGAGAGCCUGAACCAGCCAAGUCGCGUGAAGGAAGAAGGAUCUAUGGUUCGUAAACUUCUUUUGCAGGGGAAUAAAGUGCAGGACGUGUCCUGUUUUGUAUGUACCCUGAGAAUAAGGAUCGGCUAACUCCGUGCCAGCAGCCGCGGUAAUACGGAGGAUCCGAGCGUUAUCCGGAUUUAUUGGGUUUAAAGGGUGCGUAGGUGGUUUGAUAAGUCAGCGGUGAAAGUUUGCAGCUUAACUGUAAAAAUGCCGUUGAAACUGUCGGACUUGAGUGUAAAUGAGGUAGGCGGAAUGCGUGGUGUAGCGGUGAAAUGCUUAGAUAUCACGAAGAACUCCGAUUG